UACAGGGGGGGCAAGCGUUGUUCGGAAUUACUGGGCGUAAAGGGCCAGUAGGCGGCCAACUAAGUCGCACGUGAAAUCCCCAGGCUUAACCUGGGAACUGCGUGUGAUACUGGAUGGCUUGAAUUCGGGAGAGGGAUGCAGAAUUCCAGGUGUAGCGGUGAAAUGCGUAGAUAUCGUGGAGGAAUACCGGUGGCGAAGGCGGCAUCCUGGACCGACAUUGACGCUGAACGGCGAAAGCUAGGGGAGCAAACGGG
rnacentral:rRNA from 1 species